AGAGUUUGAUCCUGGCUCAGAAUCAACGCUGGCGGCGUGCCUAACACAUGCAAGUCGCACGAGAAAGGGGAGCAAUCCCUGAGUACAGUGGCGCACGGGUGAGUAACACGUGAAUCAUCUACCUCCGAGUGGGGAAUAACCUAGGGAAACCUGGGCUAAUACCGCAUAACACUUACGAGUCAAAGCAGCAAUGCGCUUGGAGAGGAGUUCGCGGCAGAUUAGUUAGUUGGCGGGGUAAUGGCCCACCAAGACGAUGAUCUGUAUCCGGCCUGAGAGGGCGCACGGACACACUGGAACUGAAACACGGUCCAGACUCCUACGGGAGGCAGCAGUGGGGAAUUUUGCGCAAUGGGGGAAACCCUGACGCAGCAACGCCGCGUGGAGGAUGAAAUCCCUUGGGAUGUAAACUCCUUUCGAUCGGGACGAUUAUGACGGUACCGGAAGAAGAAGCCCCGGCUAACUUCGUGCCAGCAGCCGCGGUAAUACGAGGGGGGCGAGCGUUGUUCGGAAUUAUUGGGCGUAAAGGGUGCGUAGGCGGUUUGAUAAGUCUGAUGUGAAAUCUAUGGGCUCAACCCAUAGCCUGCAUUAGAAACUGUCGGGCUUGAGUAUGGGAGAGGUGAGUGGAAUUUCCGGUGUAGCGGUGAAAUGCGUAGAUAUCGGAAGGAACACCUGUGGCGAAAGCGGCUCACUGGACCAUUACUGACGCUGAUGCACGAAAGCUAGGGGAGCAAACAGGAUUAGAUACCCUAGUAGUCC
rnacentral:rRNA from 1 species